GACGAACGCUGGCGGCGUGCUUAACACAUGCAAGUCGAACGGAAAGGCCCUGCUUUUGUGGGGUGCUCGAGUGGCGAACGGGUGAGUAACACGUGAGUAACCUGCCCUUGACUUUGGGAUAACUUCAGGAAACUGGGGCUAAUACCGGAUAGGAGCUCCUGCUGCAUGGUGGGGGUUGGAAAGUUUCGGCGGUUGGGGAUGGACUCGCGGCUUAUCAGCUUGUUGGUGGGGUAGUGGCUUACCAAGGCUUUGACGGGUAGCCGGCCUGAGAGGGUGACCGGCAACAUUGGGACGGAGAGAGGGCCCAGAAUACAACGGGAGGCAGCAGUGGGGAAUAUUGCACAAUGGGCGGAAGCCUGAUGCAGCAACGCCGCGUGCGGGAUGACGGCCUUCGGGUUGUAAACCGCUUUCGCCUGUGACGAAGCGUGAGUGACGGUAAUGGGUAAAGAAGCACCGGCUAACUACGUG
rnacentral:rRNA from 1 species